AUUGAACGCUGGCGGCAGGCCUAACACAUGCAAGUCGAACGAGUGGCGGACGGGUGAGUAAUGUCUGGGAAACUGCCUGAUGGAGGGGGAUAACUACUGGAAACGGUAGCUAAUACAGCAUACAAUCAGAUGUGCCCAGAUGGGAUUAGCUGGUUUGUGGGGUAACGGCUCACCAAGGAGACGAUCCCUAGAUGGUCGGAGAGGAUGACCAGCCACACGGGAACUGAGACACGGUCCAGACUCCUACGGAAGGCAGCAGUGGGGAAUAUUGCACAAUGGGCGCAAGCCUGAUGCAGCCAUGCCGCGGGUAUGAAGAAGGCCUUCGGGUUGUAAAGUACGUUCAGCGGGGAGGCGUUACCCGCAGAAGAAGCACCGGCUAACUCCGUGCCAGCAGCCGCGGUAAUUC
rnacentral:rRNA from 1 species